rnacentral:rRNA from 1 species
GGCUUAAUUUGACUCAACGCGGGAAAUCUUACCGGGUCCGGACACACUGAGGAUUGACAGGCAAUAUUAGCACUUAACUUCGGCGACGUGUUAUGUUAAAUAUGCUAGUCCUUUCAUGAUUAUGUGAUAGGUGGUGCAUGGCCGUUCUUAGUUCGUGGAGUGAUCUGUCUGCUUAAUUGCGUUUCACCAAGGGCCUAUAAUUUUACGUGUGUUGCGGCACUUUGACCCCUCUUUUUUUAAAGAGCGCGUGUCUUGGUUUGCUUAGCUCGCACAAUUAGGUCCUGAAAGCAACGAACGUGACCGCAACCUCUUGUUGCCUUUAUACCAAACGUGCAUAUGUAAUUUUUUAAUUGCUUUGCGCGCAAAAAGGCUUUUUAAACUAGAGGGACCGCUGUUACUUUCUUAAACCAGAGGAAGGUUGCGGCAAUAACAGGUCUGUGAUGC